rnacentral:rRNA from 1 species
CCCUUAGAUGUCCUGGGCCGCACGCGCGCUACACUGAUGCAUGCAACGAGUUUAUAACCUUGGCCUGAAAGGUCUGGGUAAUCUUUUGAACGUGCAUCGUGAUAGGGAUAGAUUAUUGCAAUUGUUAAUCUUGAACGAGGAAUUCCUAGUAAACGCGAGUCAUCAGCUCGCAUUGAUUACGUCCCUGCCCUUUGUACACACCGCCCGUCGCUCCUACCGAUUGAAUGUGUUGGUGGGGAGCUCGGAUUGGCAGCAGUUGGUGGUUCGCCACCGGCUAUUGCUGAGAAGUCCUCCAAACCGCCCCAUUUAGAGGAAGGAGAAGUCGUAACA